rnacentral:rRNA from 1 species
CCGGAGGAACCAACCAAACUCUUUCUGUAGUCCCCUCGCGGACGUAUUUCUUACAGCUCUGAGCAAAAAUUCAAAAUGAAUCAAAACUUUCAACAACGGAUCUCUUGGUUCUGGCAUCGAUGAAGAACGCAGCGAAAUGCGAUAAGUAAUGUGAAUUGCAGAAUUCAGUGAAUCAUCGAAUCUUUGAACGCACAUUGCGCCCGCCAGUAUUCUGGCGGGCAUGCCUGUCCGAGCGUCAUUUCAACCCUCGAACCCCUCCGGGGGAUCGGCGUUGGGGAUCGGGACCCCUCACCGGGUGCCGGCCCUGAAAUACAGUGGCGGUCUCGCCGCAGCCUCUCCUGCGCAGUAGUUUGCACAACUCGCACCGGGAGCGCGGCGCGUCCACGUCCGUAAAACACCCAACUUCUGAAAUGUUGACCUCGGAUCAGGUAGGAAUACCCGCUGAACUUAAGCAUAUCAAUAAGCGGAGGGAAAGAAACCAA